CCUAGGGGAGGCAGCAGUGGGGAAUAUUGCACAAUGGGCGCAAGCCUGAUGCAGCCAUGCCGCGUGUAUGAAGAAGGCCUUCGGGUCGUAAAGUACUUUCAGCGGGGAGGAAGGCGUUGUGGUUAAUAACCGCAGCGAUUGACGUUACCCGCAGAAGAAGCACCGGCUAACUCCGUGCCAGCAGCCGCGUAAU
rnacentral:rRNA from 1 species